rnacentral:rRNA from 1 species
GCCAACAUUAUCGCACAAAUAUAUACCAAUAAACAAACAAAACAUUUGACCAUCCUAGUAGAUGAGAUCGAACAGUAAAUACAUUCAGUACCGUAAGGGAAACCAAACAAGCAACGAACAGCAAAGAUUGACCCUUGUACCUUUUG